CACUAGGCACACAAGUGUUGUGUCGAGUAGCAUCAUCGCGUUGCCAAGAGAUUAGACCUUGUUGGGUGCUACUGGUCCACAGAAUAAAUGUGAAGCAGCAAUCAGAUAAGGCUGAGAGAUAAGCCACAUUUUGUGCUCACACACUCACUCCACACUCGAUCCAUCACAAAAAUCACCCUACACUGAAACACAUACAUAAACAUAUCUAUUAUACUAUAUAUACACAUCCCUUUCCCACUUUGUCCAACAAAAAAAAAAAAU